AAUAUUUUCUUUUUUCCCCCUUUUCCCAAAAUCGAUUCCCCCCACCCUCAGAAAUCUCGCCUGAAAUCUCUUCUUCUUUUUUCCCCAUUUUAUUUUUUCCCAAACCAUAUUGUUGCAAACUCGUAAGAAGAUUCAAAAGAAAUUGAAGAUAAGAGGAUACAGCUUGAAGACGGAUGGUCUUGAUGAGAUUCUCUCCUUAGUCAAUCACUUCCAAGAUGCUGAAGAUGAGGCUAUUGAUCUCCUCCUCGACUAGCAUGAUCACCAAUCCUUAUUUUUUUAAUUGUAAGCAGUGAAUUCUUCCAUAAUCGACAAGGAGGCGGUGCACCAAGUAGUCAGUCUUCUACUGGAUGCUGAAGCAGCUGAGGGGGAGAUCUGUUAGAAUAUGCGGAUGUAAUUCUUGCAAAAAUCUCCUUAUUGGAAAUCCAGAGACUUAAUUCGUUACGGAACACUUUGAUAAUUAGUAAAAGCAAGUAAGGAGGGAAAGACUAAUGCUAGUUGUUUUUGUUUCUGACCACCUAAAAUUUCAUCCAUGAUCUUCAGUCAACGUUUGUUUCUAUGUCUAUACACCACUGUGUUACAAUCUCCUUGGAUAGUAUUAUUUUUAUAAAAAAUUAUUGCAAUCCUUAUAACAUUCAUUCUAUGGCUUUCUGUCUAAUAUGUUGGUCAGUUUCCUUUCUUUAGAUCAUGAUUUAUGAAUGAAAGGCAAUUCAUUCUCGCUGAGGUGUGCUAAUUUUCAGUGUUUGUUUACAGACCAUGGUUUUGAUAUAUGGGGCAUCAGUUAAUUUGAAUGUAAAGAAAAUGGAUCAACACAGGAAUUUUAAGACUUGUACAGGAGUUCUAUUGGAGGUCUUGUAGAUUCAUUGAUUUUAGAUGAUAAGAGCUGGACGUUGCUUGUAGAAGCUGUAGUUGAGAAUGUUGAUUAUUUUCUGGCUGAUAUUCUAUCAUUCUUACGAUGAGAAAUCUGUUCCUGUCAGUAUCAUACAUUUCAUGCUAUAGUCUAGCAGUAAACCAUAUAUGCAAGCUAGUGAUCAAGCCUAUGUCAGUACUGUAGACACCUCUAUUUGGAGGUUGCUAGAACUACAUUGACAAAUUGUUGAUUGUCAUCUGCUACAACUGCAAGAAUGGAAAGGUAUAUAAUUUCGGAGGAGCUUGGAGAUGGUACCUGUGGUAGUGUGUUCAAAGCCUUCAAUAUAGAAACAUUUGAGAUUACGGAGAAAGCAUUUCUCAAACAACCCAAGGUGUUUUUAAGAAUGUGAAAAGCCAAUGAAGCAAGGAGUUCUCGCUCCUGGACGUGUCCGUCUUUUGCUUCACAGAGGUCUAUGGACUCUGAAAUAUUUUUCAGAGGCUAUUUAUUAUCUGGAAAAGGGGGAAUCUGUUUUUGUGGCGGCACAUACAUCUGUUGGAAAGACAGUUGUAGCAGAAUAUGCAUUUGCUUUGGCAUCAAAUUACGUUAGUUAUUUUGGUUUUUUGCUUGUAAAUCUAUAGAUGUUUUGAUUUUUUGUUAGCUGGAGAUGUGACAAAUUGCUCACAUUGAUUAAAAACCUCAGGUCAUAUCUUUUUUAUUUUCAAGUUUUUGAAGUUCUAUGCAGAAUUUGGUUUAGUUUCAA